CAAUAGCGUAUAUUAAAGUUGUUGCAGUUAAAAAGCUCGUAGUUGGAUUUCUGGUAGGAGCGACCGUGCCGAACUUGAUUGUUCGAGUAUUGUGUUGUCUUCAGCCAUCCUCGUGGAGAACUUUUCUAACAUUAACUUGUUGGGAUUGGGACCCGCGUCGUUUACUGUGAAAAAAUUAGAGUGUUUAAAGCAGGCAUUAGCUUGAAUACAUUAGCAUGGAAUAAUAAGAUAGGACUUUGGUACUAUUUUGUUGGUUUGUAUACCAAAUUAAUGAUCAACAGGAACAGUUUGAGGAUAUUCGUAUGAACAUGUCAGAGGUGAAAUUCUUGGAUUUUGAUCAGACGAACUACUGCGAAAGCAUUUAUCAAGGAUGUUUUCAUUAA
rnacentral:rRNA from 1 species